GACGAACGCUGGCGGCGUGCUUAACACAUGCAAGUCGAACGGAAAGGCCAUGCUUGCGGGGUUCUCGCGUGGCGAACGGGUGAGUAAGUCACGGGUGAUUAGCCCUCCUCUUCGGGUUAGGUCUCGUAAACUGGGUCUAAUAACGACCAGAAGACAUAUUUAAUGUCAUGGUUGGAUAGUUUUUUCGGUGUUUGCUGAGCUUGAGGCCUAUCAGCUUGUUGGGGUGGUAAUGGCCUACCGAGGCGGCGUCGGGUAGCAGGACUGCGAGGGUGACCGGCGACACUGGGACUGAGGGGCGGCCCAGACACCGACGGGAGGCAGAAGGGGGGAAGAUUGAAGAAGGGGCGCAAGCCGGGUGCAGAGACGCCGCGUGGGGGAGGACUGCCUUCGGGUUGUAAAACACUUUCGCAAGGGACGAAGCUUUUUGUGACGGUACCUAGACAAGAAGCACCGGCUAACUACGUG
rnacentral:rRNA from 1 species